rnacentral:rRNA from 1 species
CCUACGGGAGGCAGCAGUGGGGAAUAUUGCACAAUGGGCGCAAGCCUGAUGCAGCCAUGCCGCGUGUGUGAAGAAGGCCUUCGGGUUGUAAAGCACUUUCAGCGGGGAGGAAGGCGGUGAGGUUAAUAACCUCAUCGAUUGCCGUUACCCGCAGAAGAAGCACCGGCUAACUCCGUGCCAGCAGCCGCGGUAAUACGGAGGGUGCAAGCGUUAAUCGGAAUUACUGGGCGUAAAGCGCACGCAGGCGGUCUGUCAAGUCGGAUGUGAAAUCCCCGGGCUCAACCUGGGAACUGCAUUCGAAACUGGCAGGCUAGAGUCUUGUAGAGGGGGGUAGAAUUCCAGGUGUAGCGGUGAAAUGCGUAGAGAUCUGGAGGAAUACCGGUGGCGAAGGCGGCCCCCUGGACAAAGACUGACGCUCAGGUGCGAAAGCGUGGGGAGCAAACAGGAUUAGAUACCCCGGUAGUC